UUCAGUCACAGGAUCCCCCCCAGGAUCCCCCCAGGUCCUAAAGCAGGUUCAUUCAGUCACAGGAUCCCCCCAGGUCCUAAAGCAGGUUCAUUCAGUCACAGGAUCCCCCCAGGUCCUAAAGCAGGUUCAUU